AGUUUGAUCCUGGCUCAGGAUGAACGCUAGCUACAGGCUUAACACAUGCAAGUCGAGGGGCAGCAUGGUCUUAGCUUGCUAAGGCCGAUGGCGACCGGCGCACGGGUGAGUAACACGUAUCCAACCUGCCGUCUACUCUUGGACAGCCUUCUGAAAGGAAGAUUAAUACAAGAUGGCAUCAUGAGUCCGCAUGUUCACAUGAUUAAAGGUGUUCCGGUAGACGAUGGGGAUGCGUUCCAUUAGAUAGUAGGCGGGGUAACGGCCCACCUAGUCUUCGAUGGAUAGGGGUUCUGAGAGGAAGGUCCCCCACAUUGGAACUGAGACACGGUCCAAACUCCUACGGGAGGCAGCAGUGAGGAAUAUUGGUCAAUGGGCGAGAGCCUGAACCAGCCAAGUAGCGUGAAGGAUGACUGCCCUAUGGGUUGUAAACUUCUUUUAUAAAGGAAUAAAGUCGGGUAUGCAUACCCGUUUGCAUGUACUUUAUGAAUAAGGAUCGGCUAACUCCGUGCCAGCAGCCGCGGUAAUACGGAGGAUCCGAGCGUUAUCCGGAUUUAUUGGGUUUAAAGGGAGCGUAGAUGGAUGUUUAAGUCAGUUGUGAAAGUUUGCGGCUCAACCGUAAAAUUGCAGUUGAUACUGGAUAUCUUGAGUGCAGUUGAGGCAGGCGGAAUUCGUGGUGUAGCGGUGAAAUGCUUAGAUAUCACGAAGAACUCCGAUUGCGAAGGCAGCCUGCUAAGCUGCAACUGACAUUGAGGCUCGAAAGUGUGGGUAUCAAACAGGAUUAGAUACCCUGGUAGUCCACACGGUAAACGAUGAAUACUCGCUGUUUGCGAUAUACGGCAAGCGGCCAAGCGAAAGCGUUAAGUAUUCCACCUGGGGAGUACGCCGGCAACGGUGAAACUCAAAGGAAUUGACGGGGGCCCGCACAAGCGGAGGAACAUGUGGUUUAAUUCGAUGAUACGCGAGGAACCUUACCCGGGCUUAAAUUGCAGAUGAAUUACGGUGAAAGCCGUAAGCCGCAAGGCAUCUGUGAAGGUGCUGCAUGGUUGUCGUCAGCUCGUGCCGUGAGGUGUCGGCUUAAGUGCCAUAACGAGCGCAACCCUUGUUGUCAGUUACUAACAGGUCAUGCUGAGGACUCUGACAAGACUGCCAUCGUAAGAUGUGAGGAAGGUGG
rnacentral:rRNA from 1 species